rfam:Ashbya gossypii (= Eremothecium gossypii) ATCC 10895 mitochondrion, complete genome.
GCUAUUUUGGUGGAAUUGGUAGACACGACACUCUUAAGAUGUGUUCUUUAACAAAAGAUGAAGGUUCAAAUCCUUUAAAUAGCA